CCCCUAACUAAACACUCCACGCAUCUAUAUAGAGGAGAUAAGUCGUAACAUGGUAAGUGUACUGGAAAGUGUCUUGGACAAAC
rnacentral:rRNA from 1 species